UAGCUCAGUGGUAGAGCACUUACCUAGCAUAUAAGAAGCCUGAGUUCAAUCCCCAG
rnacentral:tRNA from 1 species